rnacentral:rRNA from 1 species
AUUGAACGCUGGCGGCAUGCCUUACACAUGCAAGUCGAACGGCAGCACGGGUGCUUGCACCUGGUGGCGAGUGGCGAACGGGUGAGUAAUACAUCGGAACGUACCUUAUCGUGGGGGAUAACGCAGCGAAAGUUGCGCUAAUACCGCAUACGCCCUGAGGGGGAAAGCGGGGGACCGUAAGGCCUCGCGCGAUUAGAGCGGCCGAUGUCUGAUUAGCUUGUUGGUGAGGUAAAAGCUCACCAAGGCGAUGAUCAGUAGCUGGUCUGAGAGGGCGAUCACCCAAACUGGGACUGAGACACGGCCCAGAGUCCUACGGGAGGCAGCAGUGGGGAAUUUUGGACAAUGGGGGCAACCCUGAUCCAGCAAUGCCGCGUGAGUGAAGAAGGCCUUCGGGUUGUAAAGCUCUUUUGUCAGGGAAGAAACAGCAGCUCUAACACAGUCUGCGAAUGACGGUACCUGAAGAAUAAGCACCGGCUAACUACGUGCCAGCAGCCGCCGUAA